UCUUCUCACUUCUUUCUCCUCUUCUAUUCGUCUCAUAUUCAGAUUCACCCGCGAUCUCUCUCUAUUCUUCUCCAUUUUUUCCCCUUCCCUCUUCGAUCCAAAACGAAAACCUAGAUUUCUAGGGUUUUACCCUCCUCGAUCGCAAAAAUGCCUCUCAGACUUGAAAUUAAGAGGAAACUUGCUCAAAGGUCGGAGAGAGUGAAGUCGGUAGAUCUACAUCCAACAGAGCCAUGGAUUUUAGCGAGUCUUUACUCUGGGAGUGUUUGCAUCUGGGAUUACCAAACAG